rnacentral:rRNA from 1 species
AGUCGAACGUGAAAGCACUUCGGUGUGAGUAGAGUGGCGGACGGGUGAGUAACGCGUGGGAAUCUGCCCAGUAGUGGGGGACAACUACCGGAAACGGUAGCUAAUACCGCAUACGCCCUAUGGGGGAAAGGCUUCGGCCGCUAUUGGAUGAGCCCGCGUCAGAUUAGCUAGUUGGUAGGGUAAAGGCCUACCAAGGCAACGAUCUGUAGCUGGUCUGAGAGGACGAACAGCCACACUGGGACUGAGACACGGCCCAGACUCCUACGGGAGGCAGCAGUGGGGAAUAUUGGACAAUGGGCGAAAGCCUGAUCCAGCAAUGCCGCGUGUGUGAAGAAGGCCUGCGGGUUGUAAAGCACUUUCAGUUGGGAAGAUGAUGACGUUACCAACAGAAGAAGCACCGGCUAAAUCCGUGCCAGCAGCCGCGGUAAUACGGAUGGUGCGAGCGUUAAUCGGAAUUACUGGGCGUAAAGCGCGCGUAGGCGGCUAAGUCAGUCAGAAGUGAAAGCCCCGGGCUCAACCUGGGAAUUGCUUUUGAUACUGCUUGGCUAGAGUUUGGUAGAGGAUAGUGGAAUUCCAGGUGUAGCGGUGAAAUGCGUAGAUAUCUGGAGGAACAUCAGUGGCGAAGGCGACUGUCUGGACCAAAACUGACGCUGAGGUGCGAAAGCGUGGGUAGCAAACAGGAUUAGGUACCCUGGUAGAAGGGC